rnacentral:rRNA from 1 species
UUCUGGCUCAGGAUGAAGAAGGCAGCGUGCCUAAUACAUGCAAGUCGAACGCUUUGUCUUUAAUUGAUCUGACGAGCUUGUCGUCUGAUGAUGAUUUUAUCUGACAAAGAGUGGCGCAACGGGUGAGUAACACGUGGGUAACCUACCUCUUAGCCAGGGGAUAAACAUUUGGAAACAAGUGCUAAUACCGUAUAAUACCAACAACCGCAUGGUUGUUGGUUGAAAAAGAUGGUUCUGCUAUCACUAAGAAGAUGGACCCGCGGGUGCAUUAGCUAGGUUGGGUAAAGGUAAACGGCUUACCAAAGGCAAUGGAUGCAAUAGCCCGAGUUGAGGAGGACUGAUUCGGCCACCAAUGGGACUGAGACGCCGGCCCAUACUCCUACGGGAGGCAGCAGUAGGGAAUCUUCCACAAUGGGCGGCAAGCCUGAUGGAGCAACGCCGCGUGUGUGAUGAAGGGUUUCGGCUCGUAAAACACUGUUAUAAGAGAAGAACGGCACUGAGAGUAACUGUUCAGUGUGUGACGGUAUCUUACCAGAAAAGGAACGGCUAAAUACGUGCCAGCAGCCCGCGGUAAUACGUAUGUUUCCAAGCGUUAUUCCGGAUUUUAUUGGGCGUAAAGCGAGCGCAGACGGUUAUUUAAGUUCCUGAAGUUGAAAGCCCCUCAGCUCAACUGAGGAAAUGGCUUUGGAAACUUGGAUGACUUUGAGUGCAGUAGGAGGAAAGUGGAACUCCAUGUGUAGCGGUGAAAUGCGUAUGAUAUAUGGAAGAACACCAGUUGGCGAAGGCGGGCUUUUCUGGAACUGUAACUGAACGUUGAGGCUCCGAAAGUGUGUGGUAGCAAACAGGAUUUAAGAUACCCUGGUAUGUCCACACCGUAAACAGAUGAGUGCUAAGAUGUUCGAGGGUUUCCGCCCUUGAGUGUCCGCAGCUAACGCAUUAAGCACUCCUGCCUGGGGAGUACGACCGCGAAG